GUGCCUCAGACAUGCAAGUCGAACGCGAAAGUUCCUUCGGGGAACAAGUAGAGUGGCGCACGGGUGAGUAACACGUAGGUAAUCUACCUUCGGAUGGGGAAUAACAACCGGAAACGGUUGCUAAUACCGCAUAAUGCAGCGGCACCUAAUGGUGACAGUUGUUAAAGCGGGGGAUCGCAAGACCUCGCGUCUGAAGAGGAGCCUGCGGCGGAUUAGCUAGUUGGUAGGGUAACGGCCUACCAAGGCGACGAUCCGUAGCCGGCCUGAGAGGGCGGUCGGCCACACUGACACUGACAUACGGGUCAGACUCCUACGGGAGGCAGCAGUCGGGAAUUUUGGGCAAUGGGCGAAAGCCUGACCCAGCAACGCCGCGUGAAGGAUGAAAUCCCUCGGGAUGUAAACUUCGCAAGAACGGGAAGAAUAAGACGGUGCUAACACCACCGGCGAUGACGGUACUGUUUGUAAGCUCCGGCUAACUCCGUGCCAGCAGCCGCGGUAAUACGGGGGGAGCAAGCGUUGUUCGGAUUUACUGGGCGUAAAGGGCGCGUAGGCGGCCACCGCAAGUCGAUUGUGAAAUCUCCGGGCUUAACCCGGAAAGGUCAACCGAUACUGCGGGGCUAGAGUGCAGAAGGGGCAACUGGAAUUCUCGGUGUAGCGGUGAAAUGCGUAGAUAUCGAGAGGAACACCUGCGGCGAAGGCGGGUUGCUGGGCUGACACUGACGCUGAAGUGCGAAAGCUAGGGGAGCGAACGGGAUUAGAUACCCCGGUAGUCCUAGCCUUAAACGAUGAAUGCUUGGUGUCUGGGGUUUUAUAGUCCCCGGGUGCCGUCGCUAACGCUUUAAGCAUUCCGCCUGGGGAGUACGGUCGCAAGACUGAAACUCAAAGGAAUUGACGGGGGCCCGCACAAGCGGCGGAGCAUGCGGCUUAAUUCGAUGCGACGCGAAGAACCUUACCUGGGCUUGACAUGCAGGGCAAAGCCGGUGAAAGCCGGCGCUCUACGGAGCCUGCACAGGUGGUGCAUGGCUGUCGUCAGCUCGUGCCGUGAGGUGUUGCCUUAAGUGGCGCAACGAGCGCAACCCUUGUCCCUAGUUGCCAGCGGGUAAAGCCGGGAACUCUAGGGAGACUGCCGGUGCCAAACCGGAGGAAGGUGGGGAUGACGUCAAGUCAUCAUGCCCCUUAUGUCCAGGGCUGCACGCAUGCUACAAUGCGCGGUACAAAGGGCUGCGAUCCCGUAAGGGGGAGCGGAUCCCAAAAAGCCGCGCUCAGUUCGGAACGGGGUCUGCAACCCGACCCCGUGAAGUCGGAGUCGCUAGUAAUCGCAGAUCAGCAAUGCUGCGGUGAUACGAUCCCGGGCGUUGCACUCACCGCCCGUCA
rnacentral:rRNA from 1 species